UAAUACGUAGGGAGCGAGCGUUAUCCGGAUUUAUUGGGUGUAAAGGGUGCGUAGACGGGAAAACAAGUUAGUUGUGAAAUCCCUCGGCUUAACUGAGGAACUGCAACUAAAACUAUUUUUCUUGAGUACUGGAGAGGAAAGUGGAAUUCCUAGUGUAGCGGUGAAAUGCGUAGAUAUUAGGAGGAACACCAGUGGCGAAGGCGACUUUCUGGACAGAAACUGACGUUGAGGCACGAAAGUGUGGGGAGCAAACAGGAUUAGAUACCCUGGUAGUCCACACUGUAAACGAUGGAUACUAGGUGUAGGGGAUAAUAAAUCUUCUGUGCCGCCGCUAACGCAAUAAGUAUCCCACCUGGGGAGUACGGCCGCAAGGUUGAA
rnacentral:rRNA from 1 species